rnacentral:rRNA from 1 species
GACGGAGGAUGCAAGCGUUAUCCGGAAUGAUUGGGCGUAAAGCGUCCGCAGGUGGCAGUUCAAGUCUGCUGUCAAAGACCGGGGCUUAACUUCGGAAAGGCAGUGGAAACUGAACAGCUAGAGUAUGGUAGGGGCAGAGGGAAUUCCUGAUGUAGCGGUGAAAUGCGUAGAGAUCGGGAGGAACAUCAGUGGCGAAGGCGGCUACCUGGCCCAAUACUGACACUCAGGUGCGACAGCGUGGGGAGCAAACAGG